ACAAUGACUCUCGGCAACGGAUAUCUCGGCUCUCGCAUCGAUGAAGAACGUAGCGAAAUGCGAUACUUGGUGUGAAUUGCAGAAUCCCGUGAAUCAUCGAGUCUUUGAACGCAAGUUGCGCCCGAAGCCAUUAGGCCGAGGGCACGCCUGCCUGGGUGUCACAC
rnacentral:rRNA from 1 species